rnacentral:rRNA from 1 species
UACGUAGGGGGCAAGCGUUGUCCGGAUUUAUUGGGCGUAAAGAGCGUGUAGGCGGCCAGGUAGGUCUGCUGUGAAAACUCGAGGCUUAACCUCGAGCUGUCGGCGGAAACCAUCUGGCUAGAGUCCGGAAGAGGAGAAUGGAAUUCCCGGUGUAGCGGUGAAAUGCGCAGAUAUCGGGAAGAACACCCGUGGCGAAGGCGGCUACCUGGACCGGUACUGACGCUGAGGCGCGAAAGCUAGGGUAGCAAACAGG